AAAAUGUUGAAGCCCGUGGCAUCAUCUUCCUCGUCGGCCCGGUUCUGGGCCGUCAUCGCCGCUGCACUGAUCUUGUGUGCGGCCAACGUUGAGCUUGUCCAUGGAGGUGGAAGGCCUGUGCCUAGACCUCCAGCUCCGGUAGGGCAUGUGGCUCCCAAGGAGCACUGCCCUGACUGCAGCGACAACCCGCCACCGUCGCCGCCGCCGCUUCCUCCUACUCCUCCGGCAGCUGCAGCAGGCGUACCUCCUGCUAGCGGCCAUGUGUGAUGUAGGCUUUGCGCGCUCCUCCGGACGCUGCAGAAAUUUCAAUGUUUACUACAGUCCGUUUGACGACUUGCCUCAACGGUAGUACUACUAGUUAUGGUUUUCUUUGAGGCGACACUGGUACUAGUUGUAUUGCAUGGAUAUGUUUGUUUAUUCAGUUUUGCUAUUUCUCAA